rnacentral:rRNA from 1 species
UCUCGACCUGAGGUCAGGCAGGGUUACCCGCUGAACUUAAGCAUAUCAAUAAG